UACGGGGGGUGCGAGCGUUGUCCGGAAUCACUGGGCGUAAAGGGCGCGUAGGUGGUUUGAUAAGGGUGUGGUGAAAGCCCGGGGCUCAACCCCGGGUCUGCCGUGCCGACUGUCAAACUCGAGGGCUGUAGAGGCAGACGGAAUUCCGGGUGUAGCGGUGGAAUGCGUAGAGAUCCGGAGGAAGACCGGUGGCGAAGGCGGUCUGCUGGGCAGUUUCUGACACUGGAGGCGCGACAGCGUGGGGAGCAAACAGG
rnacentral:rRNA from 1 species